UACGUAGGCAGCGAGCGUUGUUCGGAGUUACUGGGCGUAAAGGGUGUGUAGGCGGUUGUUUAAGUUUGGUGUGAAAUCUCCCGGCUCAACUGGGAGGGUGCGCCGGAUACUGAGGGGCUAGAGUGCGGGAGGGGAAAGUGGAAUUCCUGGUGUAGCGGUGAAAUGCGUAGAUAUCAGGAGGAACACCGGUGGUGCAAACGGCUUUCUGGACCGUAACUGACGCUGAGACACGAAAGCGUGGGGAGCAAACAGG
rnacentral:rRNA from 1 species